AUUUGAGCAACAAUAGAAUAAGUUUUCUGCAUCAAGAAACAUUUAAAGACCUAUCGGCACUCGUAUUACUCCACUUGAAUAACAAUAGCAUAACGUCACUACAGGAAGGAACUUUCGACGACCUACCAGCACUCCAAUCACUAUCUUUGACUGGAAACAAUUUGAUUUUUGUCAAGAAUGACACAUUUGAACAUAACAUCAACUUACAAAAUUUGUUUCUGGAUUUAGUAUGUGGUUGUAAUGUUGCCUUUUGGUCCUGGACAAAGUCAAAGAAUGUCGUGUUUAUCAUCCAUAUCAUAAAAUGUUUGGAUAGGAAUAACACAGAUUUGUCAAGUCUUCAAGCAAGUGAUUUUGAUA